CUCAGUGUGGUGUAGUGGUUUGAACAUUGGACUAUGACUCUGGAGACCAGGGUUCGAACCCGGGUUUAGCCA